rnacentral:rRNA from 1 species
UCGCCCCGGCCCCCCCCCGCGCCCGUCCCGCCGCCCCCGCCCGCCUACGGGAGGCAGCAGGGGGGAAUAUUGCACAAUGGGCGAAAGCCUGAUGCAGCAACGCCGCGUGAGGGAUGACGGCCUUCGGGUUGUAAACCUCUUUUAGCAGGGAAGAAGCGAAAGUGACGGUACCUGCAGAAAAAGCGCCGGCUAACUACGUGCCAGCAGCCGCGGUAAUACGUAGGGCGCAAGCGUUAUCCGGAAUUAUUGGGCGUAAAGAGCUCGUAGGCGGUUUGUCGCGUCUGCUGUGAAAUCCCGAGGCUCAACCUCGGGCCUGCAGUGGGUACGGGCAGACUAGAGUGCGGUAGGGGAGAUUGGAAUUCCUGGUGUAGCGGUGGAAUGCGCAGAUAUCAGGAGGAACACCGAUGGCGAAGGCAGAUCUCUGGGCCGUAACUGACGCUGAGGAGCGAAAGGGUGGGGAGCAAACAGGCUUAGAUACCCUGGUAGUCCACCCCGUAAACGUUGGGAACUAGUUGUGGGGACCAUUCCACGGUUUCCGUGACGCAGCUAACGCAUUAAGUCCCCGCCUGGGAGAACGACGACGG